GCGCUUCAGAAGGCUGACAGUGUUUUGAUCUCCGAUCGCUCUGCUGCCACACACAAGAUGGCAGUGACGUAACGCAGGACUCAGCGCUCAAUGGCGCGUUUACGUAUCAUGUCUAUGAUGAAUACGACGUAGAGUGCUGAGUUUUACGUUACGUCCCCUCCAUCUUGAUCUGGAGCGAUCAGAGCUCCGUAAGUCAUUUGCUGUUUCAACCGUUUUACAGUAGAAACUGGAUUCAUUAACAUUUCCUUUUACAGCCUGUGUCUACGAGGAUGUCUCGGAAGUUACUGGACUGCUCCCAGUUUGACCAGCAAACUGAACCCCUGCCUGUGGCCAGUGUUCCCAGUAUAAUAUAAUAUAAAUAAAUAAAUACUUCUGUUUUAUUGCA